rnacentral:rRNA from 1 species
GUCCACGCCCUAAACGAUGUCAACUAGGUGUUGGGUGGGUAAAACCAUUUAGUACCGGAGCUAACGCGUGAAGUUGACCGCCUGGGGAGUACGGCCGCAAGGUUAAAACUCAAAGGAAUUGACGGGGACCCGCACAAGCGGUGGAUGAUGUGGAUUAAUUCGAUGCAACGCGAAAAACCUUACCUACCCUUGACAUGUCCAGAAGCCCUGAGAGAUUGGGGUGUGCCCGAAAGGGAACUGGAACACAGGUGCUGCAUGGCUGUCGU